CUCGGGCAUUCCAGCGAAGCGGCGGAGUGAGCGGCGAUUGAAACAACACCGCGUAUGGCCCCGGUGACAGCUUCCGAGAAAGCCUCGCUCACGCCCUUCGCGCCGGUGACCGCGCCGCGCUGGCACGCGCGAUCACGUUGAUCGAAAGCCGCCGCGCCGACCAUCAGGCGCAGGCGCGCGAUCUGGUUCAGGAAUUGCUGCCGCUGACAGGCAGCGCGANNNNNACCGGUUCGCCGGGCGUCGGCAAAUCCACCACCAUCGAUGCACUCGGCAUGGCGCUGAUUGCCAAGGGCCACAAGGUGGCAGUGCUGGCGGUCGAUCCCUCAUCGGCGCGCACCGGCGGCUCGAUCCUCGGCGACA
rnacentral:misc_RNA from 1 species